rnacentral:rRNA from 1 species
ACUCCUACGGGAGGCAGCAGUGGGGAAUAUUGCACAAUGGGCGCAAGCCUGAUGCAGCCAUGCCGCGUGUAUGAAGAAGGCCUUCGGGUUGUAAAGUACUUUCAGCAGUGAGGAAAGGCGGGUACGUUAAUAGCGUGCUCGUUUGACGUAGCAUGCAGAAGAAGCACCGGCUAACUCCGUGCCAGCAGCCGCGGUAAUACGGAGGGUGCGAGCGUUAAUCGGAAUUACUGGGCGUAAAGCGC